CGCGCGCUACUGUGGUUUUGAUCUGAAAAACUUACCCAUAAAUUAUUUUGUUAAAAAUGGCAGCAAGUACUUCUUAGCCGUGAAGAAGGGGUGGGUGGAUGCUUGCUGACACGCUGCAGGAGGAAGAUAGCUUAUCUCCUACUCUCCACUCUUUCAAGUGAAGAGCGCACUGCGUGGGAAUUAGAGAUAACAUAAUUUGGAGAAUAUAUCGAUUUCUUUUCCUUAUGCUUUGCCUUGCUUGAAAAACUAUUGGUAGCAGCUUACUGAGUUCUAUGUAGCACACAGCCUCUUCAAAAAUUAGCGAGGCAGUUGGUGCACAGCAAAAAUGAGAGCAAGACAGUCAGAUGAAGCCAGAGGUGAGGAUGGCAUCAAACGGUGUCUUCCAGUCCUGCACAGUCCUUAGAGGUGGGCCCCAGAUUGGUCAGAAGCUUCUUCUAGCAACAACAAGAAAAAGUCCUGGGUGAGGGCCAAGGUGGUGGGAAUAUAAGUAGUUAUAAGAUUAACCAUCAUUUUUGUGUAAAAAAAAAUCAUUUUUUCUAGGAAUUUUUUUUAGUGUCCAAUAAUGAGACAUACAGACAUUUCUUCCAUCGGCUCUCAUCAGUAAAUACCCCUACAGUAAAUUUAUUAUGGGUUUCAUAUGGCUUAUUUCUUAUAGCCUUCUUCAAUGUAGGCCUAAUCGCAGAAUUAAUAAGAUCAGAAAGUUUAAGAGGAAAUUCCACUUAAGUUUUCAUUUCCAUAACAUUUAAAAAACGGGGGCGGGGGGGUGACAUAUUCUUUGGAGGAAUAUUGGAGCCUAUAGCUCAAAGAUCAUAAUUUUACCUAAAUAGAAGAUUCCUUUUUAUUUAGAUUCUUUUCAUUCUCCCUUCUUCUUCCUCUCUCCAUUUUUUGUCAGAAGGUGCCAUCUUGAAUCCAUUCAACUCUCAUCUUAGCUCCAUUCAUUGGAAGCAGACUCUGCAGUCAGCAGCCAUGGCUAUUCUUGGGUCCUAUGCCCUGGACCAAGCUGUGGGAGUUGCCAGGUCACUGCCAAACCCGAUGCACCGGACAUGGAGAAGUCACUACAGUUUCCUUCUGCUCGUCAAGAACAAGCAGGCUGACCAGUCAGGUCUAAUUUCACUUCUUGGAUAAUUAAUGAGUGGAAAGGACUAUUCCAGCUCGACACGUCGACCUUCCCCAAUGAGGCUUCGAUUUCUGGGCUGUCAGGCUAGAAGCCGGAGACUACUCUGCCUAGAAGUUCAGCUCCCUUUGUGCAUGUUGGACAUUUCAGUGAAGAUUCAUCUUUCUCCCCACCAUGGAGAUAAAACCUCGUAAAUGUUUAUGGCAGCCAUUCUCAAGCAUCCAAAAGGUACCCACGGUCAACCAUGGUCCAAAAAUAUCAAGUGGAAAAAUUCUACUUCACUUCAGCUCAUCAUGUGUGUAUUGUGUUACCUCACACCAUCACAAGAAAAAGAAGUAAACAACGGAGACCAGAAAACAGUGGAACAACAUCUUUAAGGAGCUGAAAGGAAACAAACAAACAAACAAAAAUCCAAAACACCUGUCAACCCAGAAUUCUGUAUCCAGAGAAACAUUCUAGAAUGAAGAUGAAAUAAAGACAUUUGCAGAAAAAAGAAAACGAAGACGUGUAUUACAAGAAAUGCUAAUGGAAGUUCUUCAGGCUGCAGGAAGAUGAUCCCGGACGGAAGCUUGGGUCUUUCUUGGUAAGGAAUGAAGACCAUCCAGAAUGGUAAAUGUUCAGGCAAAUACAAAGCUCAAUGUGUCAGAGGGGCAGGAGG